CAUUUAGAAAUGUAUGUUAGGGACAUCACUGUUAAUAAAAUACUGAGGGUAUUUUUUUCUUUUCAGAAAAGUGACGAUUGAAUCAAAUGAAGCAAUGUCAGAUAAAUGUCUCUUUGGACGCAGACCAAGAUUGACAAGCAAACUUAAUACCCCACCAACACAGGUCUCUCUAAAUGUAGCUAAGACAUUCUCAGAAAAAGUUUCUUCUUGGAUGCUUUUUGUCACAACUAGAAGAUCGAACGGGGCAGAGGCAGAACAAAUGUAAAUCAUCUUUGCUGUGCAUUUUUCAUUUCCAGAGAAGGGUUUUGCUUUAGCCAUAUAUACUGGGGGAGUAAAGAUUCCAUUCCCUCCCAUAGUAUUAAGAAUAUAACAACCUGG
rnacentral:lncRNA from 1 species